CCAGGCGCCCCCCACCUUAUUUUUUUGUGAAGAACAUGAAAUGACAGUGAACUUGCCAAGGCAUGGCUAGCGAUUUCAUGAUAUGUAGGUGGAGGAGGGAGAGGACAGUGAACAGCAGAGUACCUCUCCUUGAGGUGCAGGAAGAGCCAGCAUCUGCUGUCCGGAGACCAUCUCUCACUGCUCCAAGUGAAGGUGGGUCGAGGAAGCCAUGAGGGAAAAGCCCCACUUGGGGACACCACAGGCUCCUUCCCCUCUUCCAUGUUAUAUGCUGUGGGAGGCUAAGAAGUAGAUGAGCUCUGCUGUCUGUAGCUUCCCGAAGAACCAGAAUAAAACCCAACCAAACAAAACCCCCUCAAGAAAAAGCAUUUGAGAGAAUCUCCUUAACUCUGGACCUGCAGGUGGUGGUUUUGGAUCACGAUCACUGUUGCAUCGCUCCUGGAAAAGCCUCCAUCUUGCUCGGUUUUCUUCAAGAUUAAUGCCUGAUUUUCCUGAAGGAGAUGGCGAAAGAAAGCCCUAAGGGAACGUGAGUUCUAAGGAGCACACGACACAUCAGAGACAUCCAGUUGCAUAUUCUCGUCUUCCGUGUUCUUUUUUAAGCCUCUGGAGGAACUGAGUGGACAGGAGGGAGAAGGAAUUUGUUUCUGGAGGAAAUCAUGGAAGGCUGAAUGGACUGCGCCUAGUGCUAGGGGAAGAUGAACCGGCAUGUUCUUUGUUACACAGCAGCCUACCCACCCAGGGGAGCGAAGCACAUGAGUUUUCAAAACCCAAGUCCUUUCAAUCGGCUGAUGGUGGAGUUGGGGAAAAUGGAUUGGGAGAAGCUGCGUAACCAUUCAGUGUGGGAUUGCAACACCUGGAACAUUCACCACAUUCUCCGUAAUAAGACUCCUGGUCUCAUGGAGAAAACUGGCCCCAAACGAUGGGGCAGGGGCUGAAAUAGGUUCUUACUGGCAUUUACCCUACGUCCUUUGACUUGUUUUGGCUGUUUCCUGUGUCUUGGCCGUGGCUGUGUUUGGAGUGGUGUGGAAAAGGGCCUUCAUUCCAGGCUUGUCAGAGUGCUAAUAAGCUUUCCUGUGUCAUCACCUCUCCGAGCCUCUACCUUUAGGACAACCGACAACGUCCCCUGAUCAUCAUCUGUAGAUCAUGGUUUGGGAAAUGCUGCCAUGCAGUGUAAUGUACCAAUUCCAGGGGAGGUGAGAGAAGAGAAAGUUAAGAUCUUCUUCCUGGUGAGAGAGAUGGAAAAGUUCAGUGAGACUGAAGACAUUCCCUCCCAUACAUGGCAGUGGAGUCGGAGGUUGUGAACUUAGAUCUCUCUUAGCAGUUCGUGGUGGGGAGAGAGCAUGUGCCUGCCCCAGGGUGAAGGGAACAAAGUUUCCUUGUGGUCCUGUAGUGCGCAGCGGGCCAACCCAGCGAAUCUUCUUCCUGAACCUCGGGGAUUCUGGGCAAGCUGUGGGAAGGGUGUCCUUCACAGACAAGGGUUAAGCCCUUCUAGAAGUGUGGGGCUUGUAGUGGGAUGAGUGGGCUACCCUGUUCCUCUCCCACUCUUGCAUCCAAAUGUGAACUUAUUUGGAAAUAGCGUUUGCAGGAGUAUUAGGUUAAGCGGCCCAAUGGGAGAACACCUUGGGUUAUCUGGGCUGGCACUAAAUCCAAUGAUAAGCUUCCUUACUAGGGAAAAGGCAGAGGGAGAUUUGAGACAGACAAGACCGCAAGCCAAGGAACUCCUGGAGGGAUCAGAAGCUGGAGGAGGCAGGGAAAGCCUUUUCCCUGGCGUCUUUGGUGGAAGUGCAACCCUGCUGACCUCUUGCUUUGAGACGUCUGGCUUCCAGAACUGUGAGGGAAUAAUUUCCUGUUGUUUUGAGCCACCGUGUUUGUGGUUCUGUGUUAUGGCAGCCCCAGGAAACCGAGACAGGGGUGUAGGAGGAGAGAUGGAAACAGAGAGGUAGGUGAGAAGUUAGAAGAUGAGAGCUGGUAAGUUCAAACAGCAGGGGUCAUCCUGAGAGUCCUCUGGAAAGUAGAGCUUCCAGAGCUUUCUUGUGGCACAUGGAGGUCACACUGGUCCCGCCAACAAGCUCAGGGCCAACCGCUGUGGCAGAAUUGGAGGAAUGGUAUCUGUGGGUUGCUUGGAGAGCAUGGCCACCACAGGAGGACAAGGAGGAUGUUCUGCCUGGCUGAGGGUUUGAAUUAGGGUAUCACUGGGGGGAGUCCUAAAAGGUGGCUUGGCAAAGGAAUGAAAUAAAUUUCUUCUGUCUUGGAGAGCUCACUGAUCAAGCCCCAAGGGCAAGGCCUCCGGUAUC